GAAGCUGACCAGACAGUCGCCGCUUCGUCGUCGUCCUCCUUCGGGGGGAGACGGGCGGAGGGGAGGAAAGUCCGGGCUCCAUAGGGCAAGGUGCCAGGUAACGCCUGGGGGGUGUCACAGCCCACGACCAGUGCAACAGAGAGCAAACCGCCGAUGGCCCGCGCAAGCGGGAUCAGGUAAGGGUGAAAGGGUGCGGUAAGAGCGCACCGCGCGGCUG
rnacentral:RNase_P_RNA from 1 species